rnacentral:lncRNA from 1 species
GAAAGUUGACCUAGCUUGGUGUGACACAAAUUGUCACACCUCUAUUCAAAAAAUCAUAUCUCCAUCACCAAGUAUCCAAAAAUCACAAACCACACAUGAAAAUCACCAUCAAGAUGUCUAGAAUAAGCACAAAAAUUUUCAUUCAUUUAUUUGCAAGCAUGAGUAUUUCAUGAGGGAUAUGGCAAAGCAUACAAAAAUGUGACACAUUCCACAAACCCUAGGCCAAUUAUUUUUCCACACGUACAAAAAUUCC